GGGAGCGAUCACACCAGCACUAAUGCAGUUGACCCCAUCAAAACUCCGCAGUUAAGCGUGCUUGGACGAAAGUUGUACUAGGAUGGGUGACCUCUUAGGAAGUCCUCGUGUUGCACCCC
rnacentral:rRNA from 1 species